rnacentral:lncRNA from 1 species
AAAGAUUAAAAAGGGUUCAAAGGUUGAUCCCUAUCCAGACUUGCUUCAAACCUAUUCAGGCCUUCAGUUCAAGGAAGCAGGAUUCAAGCAAAAAUAAUUCAGAUCAGCCCUGUGGAUAUCCGUAAAGAUAGGACACUUGUACCGCUGAUUCAGAACCUACUCAACCUCAGAUCUAGAGCUUGAAUUGGAUUCAACCCCAGUUAUAGAUUUGAGACAAAAGGGAAAGCGAUUCUAGUAUGUGAAUUGAUCAUAGGUUUUUUUUUAUUCAUCUUAAUAUCAGUUUAUGUUAAUUUCAGUAUAUGAACUAGAUUUA